rnacentral:miRNA from 1 species
ACAGACACACACACACACACACACACACACACACACACAUAUAUAUAUAUAUAUGUGUGUGUGUGUGUGUGUGUGUGUGUGUGUAUUGU